rnacentral:rRNA from 1 species
GACGAACGCUGGCGGCGUGCUUAACACAUGCAAGUCGAACGAUGAAGCGCCAGCUUGCUGGUGGGGAUUAGUGGCGAACGGGUGAGUAACACGUGGGCAAUCUGCCCUUCACUCUGGGACAAGCCCUGGAAACGGGGUCUAAUACCGGAUAACACUCCUGUCCUCCUGGACGGGGGUUAAAAGCUCCGGCGGUGAAGGAUGAGCCCGCGGCCUAUCAGCUUGUUGGUGAGGUAAUGGCUCACCAAGGCGACGACGGGUAGCCGGCCUGAGAGGGCGACCGGCCACACUGGGACUGAGACACGGCCCAGACUCCUACGGGAGGCAGCAGUGGGGAAUAUUGCACAAUGGGCGAAAGCCUGAUGCAGCGACGCCGCGUGAGGGAUGACGGCCUUCGGGUUGUAAACCUCUUUCAGCAGGGAAGAAGCGAAAGUGACGGUACCUGCAGAAGAAGCGCCGGCUAACUACGUGCCAGCAGCCGCAGUAACAC